AUGGAGGUAUGAUUUUUUCCCCAGAUGAUCGACGCUGAAUAUACUGUGCGAUUUUUAAUCUCCAUUGAGAUUCACAGCCAGUCUUGCUGAUCCAU